rnacentral:rRNA from 1 species
UACGUAGGUGGCAAGCGUUGUUCGGAUUUACUGGGCGUAAAGGGCGCGUAGGCGGCCACCGCAAGUCGAUUGUGAAAUCUCCGGGCUUAACCCGGAAAGGUCAACCGAUACUGCGGGGCUAGAGUGCAGAAGGGGCAACUGGAAUUCUCGGUGUAGCGGUGAAAUGCGUAGAUAUCGAGAGGAACACCUGCGGCGAAGGCGGGUUGCUGGGCUGACACUGACGCUGAUGUGCGAAAGCUAGGGGAGCGAACGGG